GACAUUUCCAAUUGGUGUAAAUGUCAUCUGUUUCUUCAAAACUAGAACAGAAGAUUGAAAUAAUCUGAAGUAUUUUGGGAGUAAUGAUAUCUUUAAGGCAUCUCUUUUUUUCUUUAGCACACUGAAUCUAGUUUAUCCCUGGUGUUCCUUCCAGCUAGACACCACUAAAUUUAAUGAGAGCCUGCACUGGCACCUGACAUCCUUGUUAUGUUGCCUGGGAAGGAAGAUAGAAAUGUCAUGGUGAGGUUACCAGCUGAUUAAAUCAAAAUGCUAGACAGUUGCAUAAUCUCAUGCAUCUCAGUAACAGCAGCAAAUACCACCAUCACAAGCCAAGAGAAAAGUGUGGAAGUGUGGAGAUGGAUGCCAAAGGCAAUAGUGGAUUCUUUCUGGAAAGCAGGAGUUUUCAGAGCUUCUCAAGGUGGUUUCCUUCGUGAGCCCUGUGUCUGGCUGAUGAAACUCUGCCCCCAGGCUCCUCCUGAGAAAGGAAGGAUGUGCAGCUGGUUGCACUGGCAUUCUGGACACAUCACCUAA
rnacentral:lncRNA from 1 species